UGCCCAUCGGGUGAUGGGGUGCCACCCAAAUAUCAGGGACUUAUCCGAAGUUUUCUGAUUUUUUGAACCGCUUCGCAAGAAUGCUGAUGACUCCUACUUCAAC
rnacentral:ncRNA from 1 species